rnacentral:lncRNA from 1 species
AUGGUGGUUCGUUCGGAAUCAUGUGAUUUUGGCGACAACUUCAGGUGGAGUUGGAGUCUGAUGGUCGUGGUUAGAGGAGUUGAGCGGCAGAGGUCUGGUAUCAGAAUCUGGUGGGAGCAAUGGUCCCAUCGUCGGAGUCGUAGGUGCAGUAGCAUCAGAAGCUUCAAUUUAAUUACGUACGGUGUUAGGCGAUGGCUUCCAUUUUUCUUUGGUAUCUUUGCAACUCCGGAUCCACGGUUCUUCUUCUUCUUUUCCUUGGAAUUAUCUUCUUUGAUAACUUGUUAUUGGUUUUGA